UACGUAGGGGUCUAGCGUUGUCCGGAAUCAUUGGGCGUAAAGAGCUCGUAGGCGGUUCGGUUAGUCGGGUGUGAAAUCUCCACGCUCAACGUGGAGGCGCCACCCGAUACUGCUGUGACUAGAGUCCGGUAGGGGAGUGCGGAAUUCCCGGUGUAGCGGUGAAAUGCGCAGAUAUCGGGAGGAACACCAGUGGCGAAGGCGGCACUCUGGGCCGGAACUGACGCUGAGGAGCGAAAGCGUGGGGA
rnacentral:rRNA from 1 species